AACGAACGCUGGCGGCAUGCCUAACACAUGCAAGUCGAACGAGACCUUCGGGUCUAGUGGCGCACGGGUGCGUAACGCGUGGGAACCUGCCCUUAGGUUCGGAAUAACUCCCCGAAAGGGGUGCUAAUACCGGAUAAUGUCUUCGGACCAAAGAUUUAUCGCCUUUGGAUGGGCCCGCGUUGGAUUAGCUAGUUGGUAGGGUAAAAGCCUACCAAGGCCACGAUCCAUAGCUGGUCUGAGAGGAUGAUCAGCCACACUGGGACUGAGACACGGCCCAGACUCCUACGGGAAGCAGCAGUGGGGAAUAUUGGACAAUGGGCGAAAGCCUGAUCCAGCAAUGCGGCGUGAGUGAUGAAGGCCUUAGGGUUGUAAAGCUCUUUUACCCGGGAUGAUAAUGACAGUACCGGGAGAAUAAGCUCCGGCUAACUCCGUG
rnacentral:rRNA from 1 species